UUGGAGGGUUGGUGUUGACUUGAUGGGCUGAAUGGCCUGUUUCCACUCUAUAUGGGAAGAUGCAUCCAUUGUCUGCAUCUUAAUACCAUUAAAUCUGAUCUCUCAAACUGCUGAUGUUUCAAAAAAUGCAAUGGUUAAGUUCAUCCAGUGCCACCAAUAAAACCAUCACCAUUUACAAGGUUACAGAAGUUGACAGCCUCUGCAGUUAGUCUCACAGGAAGGGCUUCUCCUGUUUUAAGAGUUCUGUUGCCAUUGGAAACCAUGGAGCAGCUCACCUCAUCUAAACCAUAAUGUGUAGAUUGGAUUGAGGUUGCAAUAAAAACAGGAAAUGGUUUCAUAAAAUAAACUGGAGUGGCAGCAAAGGGACUCUCCUUUAGAAAACUAGCCUCACUGCUUUGAGGCUGGCUUUAAGCACAAUUGUUUUCUCAGUAAUUCUCUCUGAAGCAUUGCCUAAUUCAUUUUGUAAGCAAUUUGCUGAUUGUUAUAUUUCAAUAUCACCAUGUUUAUAUUUUAA